ensembl:lncRNA
GUUCCUCUUUGUCUCUCAGUAGGAAAUCUAAACCAGACAGUACAAGGGUACAUUUCAGCGUUACAAGCCAAUCAGUUUGCUAAUUGUUCUGUGAGAUUUGUUUGCAAAGUUUAAGGUGUUAAAGCAGGAGCUGGCAUUCUGCCAGAGCCUCAGCAACAAGACCGCCUCCCAGCAACGAGACUGCCUGUCAGCCUUGCAAGGUACCCAAUUUUCUAAUUACUCUAUAACAAAACUGUUGUGGGCAACAAGACUGUCUCCUAUGUUUGCAAGCCAAUCACUUUGUUCUUGUAAGAUUUGUUUGAAAAGUUUGAGGUGGUAACUGUGAGCUGUGAACAUCCGGGUUUGCUUGCUGCUGGCAUUCGACCAGCGUCUCAGCAACAACACUGCCUCCCAGCUUUGCAAGGUAAUUACUUUCCCAAUUACUGUACACCAAAAUGGACUAACUGUCGUGGUCAACAAAUCUGCCUCCCAACUUUCAAGGUAAUCACUUUCCCAAUUACAAUAUACAAACUGUUAUGGAACUUUACUUAACAAAGCCUUAAGACCGGGUAGUGACACUAUCAAUAUGUCUAUUUAAAGAAAAGAGAUUUUUUUGUUUUUUUUUUUUUGUUCUUGUAGUCAUCUUGUCUAUCAAUGUAUCAGAGGGUUAAAAUAACAAAUUGCUUGAAAUGCCAAUAAUUAAUAUUCUGUUUUAUGCUGACAUUCUACCAGAUGCCGAGAAAAAAUAAAAGAUCCCAGGCACAAAAGAAGCGCUGGAAACCACUUGACUUGGUCGAUCCUGCUGUCCCAAUGCUCACUGGCCACAACCAAGAUGAGGCAGUCAGUCGUUUUCCAUCUGACCAGCAGACGGCACCAGCCAGGUUAUCUUUGGAAACACAGGAUAGACCCACCUCCUUAUGUUCCCCAGGUCCCAAGCAGACAGCACCAGCCAGCUUGUCCUUGGAAACGGAGAAUAGACCCACCUCCUUAUGUCCUCCAGGCAGCAAGAUUUCAGACACUCGUCCACCAGCAAAACGAGUCUGGGCAACCGAUGAUUUCCACACGGCAUCAAAUUCUCCACCUAAAAAGCCUUUCCACAACACAAAUGAACAACUACUGACAGAGGAGCUACAGAGAAACGCAGUUCAGCACUUCUGGUGUGUCAGUGCAACUCAUUGUCAAAGUGAUGAAAGGUACACAGAAUUCUCUCGAAAUCAUCAGUGCACAUGUAAUGCCCUCACAUUCCUGGCCUACCUUAAUGAGGAACACCAGUUCAACACAGCCCGACUUGAUAAGGUGCUUGAACAGGGAGAUGCACUCUACUGUUGGAUUAAAACAAAUCUUCAGCAGGAGGCGUUAUACACAAAAUCAUCUGACCAUGGAGGACCUGCCCAAAGAAGUUCAUGCUGACAUAAAUGUCUACAGUGUGAAAAUGGACAACAUAAGGUACGGAUACCUGAAAGCAGAGGACAAAACUUAUCAAAGAAAAGGAUGGUGGUUGCCUCUUGCUAGUCG